GCAAGCCGAAGGGCAGCUACCGGUUUUUCGUAAACUGAGGAAACUCCACACAUCGUACAGAACCGUGGUGCUAUAAAGCACGUGCUGAGAAGCAUGACACUGGAGCAGAAACGACACGUCUUCUGAUGAAUGAAAAUGAUGCAAAUGCUGAGGACGUCAGAAGGAACGGUGAAACGGCCAUUCCACGGGAUGCAAGGGCAAAUGCUGCUAAUGAAUCCUGUAUGAAGCAGAGGUAGCUCGCAGAGAUGAAUGCUGCUAGAACAGAAUGUGGGUUACUCUCGGCAUGC
rnacentral:RNase_P_RNA from 2 species